GUGCUCACUUCAGCAGCACAUAUACUAAAAUUGAAAUGAUACAGAGACCAUUAGCAUGGCCCUGUGAGAGACUGAUAUGCAAAUUAGUGAAGCUUUCCAUAUUUUA